rnacentral:rRNA from 1 species
GGGGUGCUCGAGUGGCGAACGGGUGAGUAACACGUGAGUAACCUGCCCUUGACUUUGGGAUAACUUCAGGAAACUGGGGCUAAUACCGGAUAGGAGCUCCUGCUGCAUGGUGGGGGUUGGAAAGUUUCGGCGGUUGGGGAUGGACUCGCGGCUUAUCAGCUUGUUGGUGGGGUAGUGGCUUACCAAGGCUUUGACGGGUAGCCGGCCUGAGAGGGUGACCGGCCACAUUGGGACUGAGAUACGGCCCAA